GACGUAGGGCGCGAGCGUUGUCCGGAUUUAUUGGGCGUAAAGAGCUCGUAGGCGGCUUGUCGCGUCGGCUGUGAAAACCCGCGGCUCAACUGUGGGCGGGCAGCUGAUACGGGCAGGCUGGAGUUCGGUAGGGGAGACUGGAAUUCCUGGUGUAGCGGUGAAAUGCGUUGAUAUCCAGCGGAACUCCGGUGGCGAAGGCGAGGUGCUGGACCCUUUCUGACGCUGAUGCGCGAAAGCCAGGGGAGCAAACGGG
rnacentral:rRNA from 1 species